GACGAACGCUGGCGGCGUGCUUAACACAUGCAAGUCGAACGGAAAGGCCCUGCUUUUGUGGGUUGCUCGAGUGGCGAACGGGUGAGUAACACGUGAGUAACCUGCCCUUGACUUUGGGAUAACUUCAGGAAACUGGGGCUAAUACCGGAUAGGAGCUCCUGCUGCAUGGUGGGGGUUGGAAAGUUUCGGCGGUUGGGGAUGGACUCGCGGCUUAUCAGCUUGUUGGUGGGGUAGUGGCUUACCAAGGCUUUGACGGGUAGCCGGCCUGAGAGGGUGACCGGCCACAUUGGGACUGAGAUACGGCCCAGACUCCUACGGGAGGCAGCAGGGGGGAAUAUUGCACAAUGGGCGGAAGCCUGAUGCAGCAACGCCGCGUGCGGGAUGACGGCCUUCGGGUUGUAAACCGCUUUCGCCUGUGACGAAGAGUGAGUGACGGUAAUGGGUAAAGAAGCACCGGCUAACUACGUG
rnacentral:rRNA from 1 species